GACGAACGCUGGCGGCGUGCCUAAUACAUGCAAGUUGAGCGCUGAAGGUUGGUACUUGUACCAACUGGAUGAGCAGCGAACGGGUGAGUAACGCGUGGGGAAUCUGCCUUUGAGCGGGGGACAACAUUUGGAAACGAAUGCUAAUACCGCAUAAAAACUUUAAACACAAGUUUUAAGUUUGAAAGAUGCAAUUGCAUCACUCAAAGAUGAUCCCGCGUUGUAUUAGCUAGUUGGUGAGGUAAAGGCUCACCAAGGCGAUGAUACAUAGCCGACCUGAGAGGGUGAUCGGCCACAUUGGGACUGAGACACGGCCCAAACUCCUACGGGAGGCAGCAGUAGGGAAUCUUCGGCAAUGGACGAAAGUCUGACCGAGCAACGCCGCGUGAGUGAAGAAGGGUUUCGGAUCGUAAAACUCUGCUGGUAGAGAAGAACGUUGGUGAGAGUGGAAAGCUCAUCAAGUGACGGUAACUACACAGAAAGGGACGGCUAACUACGUG
rnacentral:rRNA from 1 species